UUAUUCUAAUUCUUAUAAGAGUUAUUUCAUUAAAUAGUAUAUAUUAAAAUCUAAAGUCUUCCAACCCCUGGCCAGGAUACUGCGAGUGGCUGAUAUGGA